rnacentral:rRNA from 1 species
GACAGAGGUGCCGAGCGUUAGGCGGAAUCACUGGGCUUAAAGCGUGUGUAGGCGGGUCGUUAAGUGUCCGGGGGAAAUCCCCCGGCUCAACCGGGGAACGGCCGGGCAUACUGGCGACCUUGAGGCACCCAGGGGCUGUCGGAACAAGCGGUGGAGCGGUGAAAUGCGUAGAUAUCGUCUGGAACGCCAGAGGUGAAAACAGUCUGCUGGGGACUUGCUGACGCUGAGACACGAAAGCCAGGGGAGCGAACGGG